GUCCUACGGGGGGCAGCAGUGAGGAAUAUUGGUCAAUGGUCGGGAGACUGAACCAGCCAAGCCGCGUGAGGGAUGAAGGUACAGAGUAUCGUAAACCUCUUUUGUCAGGGAACAAAGGCGGGGACGUGUCCCCGGAUGAGUGUACCUGAAGAAUAAGCUCCGGCUAACUACGUGCCAGCAGCCGCGGUAAUACGUAGGGAGCAAGCGUUAUCCGGAUUUACUGGGUGUAAAGGGCGUGUAGGCGGGCAUGCAAGCCAGAAGUGAAAUCUGGGGGCUUAACCCCCAAACUGCUUUUGGAACUGCGG
rnacentral:rRNA from 1 species